UACCCACCUGGACUCAGAUUUUCCCCAGGCACGGAGACUGGGGUCAUGGCGCCUCGAACCCUCCUCCUGCUGCUCUUGGGGACCCUGGCCCUGACUGAGACCUGGGCGGGCUCUCACUCUUUGAGGUAUUUCGGCACUGCCUCGUCCCGGCCGGGCCACAGGGAGACCCGCUUCAUCGCCGUGGGCUACGUGGACGACACGCAGUUCGUGGGGUUUGACAGCGACGCCGCAAGUCCGAGGAUGGAGCCGCGGGCGCCGUGGGUGGAGCAGGAGGGGCCGGAGUAUUGGGACCGGGAGACGCGGAGAGCCAUGGCCAAGGCACUGACUUUCCGAGUGGGCCUGCAGACCCUGCGCGGCUACUACAACCAGAGCAAGGCGGGUGAGUGACACCCGCGCGGAGCGCAGGUCACGACCCCUCCCACCCCCCACAGACAACCCGGGUCCCCCCACCGCCCCGAGUUUCCGGGUAGAGAUCCACCCCGAGGCUGCGGGACUCGCCCAGACCCUCCACCGCGGAGAGCCCCAGGCGCCUUUACCAGGUUUCAUUUUCAGUUUAGGCCAAAAUGCCCGAGGGUUGGUCCUGGCGGGGCGGCGCUGGAUGGGUCCGGCUGACCUCGGGGACCCGGCCAGGGUCUCACAACCUCCAGGGAAUGAUUGGCUGCGAUGUGGGGCCAAAUGGGAGCUUCCUCCGCGGGUAUCUCCAGUUCGCCUAUGACGGCAAGGAUUACAUCUCCAUGAACGAGGACCUGCGCUCCUGGACCGCCGCGGACCCGGUGGCUGAGAUCACCCAGGGCAAGUUGGAGGCGGCCAACGUGGCGGAGCAAUCGAGAGCUUACCUGAAGGGCGAGUGCGUGGAGUGGCUCCUCAGAUACCUGGAGAACGGGAAGGAGAGGCUGCAGCGCGCGGAGCCCCCAAAGACACACGUGACCCACCACCCCAUCUCUGACCAUGAGGCCACCCUGAGGUGCUGGGCCCUGGGCUUCUACCCUGCGGAGAUCACACUGACCUGGCAGCGGGAUGGGGAGGACCAAACUCAGGACACGGAGCUUGUGGAGACGAGGCCAGCAGGGGAUGGAACCUUCCAGAAAUGGGCAGCUGUGGUGGUGCCUUCUGGAGAAGAGCAGAGAUACACUUGUCAUGUGCAGCACGAGGGACUGCUGGAGCCCCCGACCCUGAGAUGGGAGCCAUAUUCCCAGUUCACCAUCCUCACUAUGGACACCGUUGCCUGCCUGGCCAUCCUGGGAGCUGUGGUCAUCGGAGCUGUGGUCGCUGAUGUGAUGUGAAGGAGGUUGAGCUCA